rnacentral:lncRNA from 1 species
AGAAUCCCUUUGGGGUCGGCAGGCUCCGGAGUUGCGCGAGGUGGACACACAAAACCAAAAGCCAAAGUUGGAAAC